UCAAAAAGAAUUUGAAAUUUGAGCAAGAGCUUCAGAACCCAAUAGAUGUGCCAGAUAACUUCUUGAUUGGUAAAUAUCUCUUUCAAUACAAUUACAAUCCAAAUUGUUGGCAAAAUUUAAGACUUUCUUUCACUGGAACUAAGGGGCCCAAAUCUAUUCCCAUAUUAUAAUGCACCUGUGCACAAAGAUCCAUGAACAUGGUUUACUCAAAAGCAGGCCUCCCAGAAUCCAGAUCUCAACUUCACUGAAUAGGUAACUUUUAGGAUUAAUUAUAAUGACAGCUUCACACUGGGCCUUAACCAUCCAGCAUUUGUGACCAACUACUUAGCUGUAUUGUGGCUGAAAUCCCCACAGCCACAUCACUCUUCUGGAAGGCUUCCCACUAUAUUUUGUGAAGCCUGUUAUGGCAGCAAUGGAGAUUUUAGAGUGUGCGUAGCUGGGAAAUGAUAAAAGACUAAAAAUUCACACCGGUUCGUUGUCAAGACCAUUUACUCUUAGAUAUAUUUGAUGUUAUAUUUUGACCUAUGCCUACAUUGUAAGGUAUGUGGGAUUCCACUUGGGCAGUGGUCAGGUGUGUCCCCAAACUGAUUGGGCCUCAGGCAGGCAAUCACUUUUAUCAAGACCAAAAACGUAGUUUCUGGGGCAGGGUUGGCAAUUCUUAAACGUUCUUGCAUAGUUUUGCACACAUUACCAGCUUGCUGACUAAACUUACUAAAAAGGAAGUGCCAGAUCCGGCCCAGAGGAUGAAGCAAUGCAAGCAGACUUUCUGCCAGAUGGCUGCAUCAGACAGAGGACUGAGGACUGUUCAGGCCCAGGAGGUGAAGGGGGAAGAGAACUCUAUGCCACAUCAGACAGAGGGCUGUCAGUAAAGUAGACCAAGCACAGGAUAAUUGGAGUAUAUGGUCAAGUGGUUGCCAACGUAUGGGAUGACCUAAAGAGCUCCACCUCAUGAAGGAUGCCAAUGCACCGAUCAUUAGUUAGUAUCAGGUACUUCAGCCAUUCAUAUGGUGGAGGUAGCAUGCAGCAGCUGGGACAUGGUCAAGUAUCAGCUGUGGAAGGAGGUCAGUCAAACCCGAAAUAAAUAAACUUCAACCAGAUAGAGCAAAAGUUAAUCUGGGAUAUUAGCUGUUUUCUGUUGUAUGGACGUGUAGUGAAAAGCACAGAGCAGUCUCAUCACUGCUAUCAUUACUGGCUCUCUAACAUCUGGUCAUAUACCAUCUGCCUUCAGGAAAGCAAAGGUUACUCGCAUCCUGAAGAAACCUGCUCUGGAUUCCUUAAUCAACUACAGACAAGUAUCACUUCUUUCUUGCCAUUCUAAAUUCCAUGAAAGCACCUCAAAGAUCCCAAACCAUCUAGCUUCAAAGCACACAGAUACUGUUAUUUCAGCUAUCACUGAGAGCUUCAUGUUGCUAGAUCAGUCAAACUGUUAUCAAUCCUCACAUUCAAAAGCGCUUCUCUAAGUCACACGGGACAGGGGUGUCUGCCAAAUGCAAUGGACAUUUUUGUGGAUGAAUGAAACAAAGAUGUAAAACCACUUGUAUGAGAAUGGAGUACAGAGAAGUAAAAGGCUCAUGAUAAAAGCAUACAUAAUCUGUGAAACAUACUGGAGGCAGUGACAUCUAUGGCAGAAAUCAACCCAACUUUUCAUAGGUUUCAAAUACUGAAGAAAAAACCGACAAAAAAGAACAAGGCAGCUGAUGUAAAAACCAAUGAAUGAAGCUUCAUCAUUUGGAGAUGUCUAGUAGUUCCAGACUUCAGACAGUAUCUGGCUGCAAAGGAUCUGCAUCCAAGUAGUAAAAAUAGUUUUGGAAAAUACCUUUUAAUAAAGCUAGAAGUCUACACUACAAUGGUUAGAACAGAACAGAACAGAGGGCAUAGAAGCCUUUAUUAUCACCACAUAUACAUUACAGCACAGUGGAAUUCUUUUCUUCACAUACCCCAACAGAGGAGGUUGGGGUCAGAGUGCAGGGGCAGCUAUGAUACAGCGCCCCUGGAGUAGGGAGGGUCGAGGGCCUUGUGGCAGCUUGGCUGUGCUGGGCCUUGCACCUCGAUCCUCCGAUCAACAACCCAGAGCCUUAACCAGUUGAGCCACCACUGACCCCUGGUUUUCACAUAUCCCAGGCUAUUAUGAGCCUGGGGUCAGAGCACAAGGUCAGCCAUCGUGCGGCGCCUUUGGAGCAGGUGAGGUUAAGGGCCUUGCUCAAGGACCCAGCAUAGAUGUCUCAGCAGCUUGUGGCCUUGAACCCCCACCUUCUGAUUAGGAGCCCAGCAACUGGACCGCUGGACCAUCACGUCCUUACUUAGCUUAGCUUUUGUUUGUAAUAAAGUUUGAAGGUGAGAGUAGAGUACCUUAUUUACAAAUAUAUACACAACUAAAUGCAAGAAUAGAAAGACAAAAUGGGAAAUGGACAUUUUAUUUUACUCACACCAGUGUAUAUUUCAGCCACAAUUUAAUUAAAUCUUAAAAUGUGUUGAUUAAAAUAUAUUGAUUAAAACAGAAAAGGGAUAUAGACAAUUACAAGACAAAAGUACAUUAAUCAGUUUUUUUUCCUGGUAAGAGAACAU